CCUCCGUCGCCCAGAUCCCACCCGCAGGACCCCAAAACCCAAUGAUCCUGGAGCAGGCCUUGGAGCGAGGCCCGCAGGGUGGGGCCCAGCGCUUCCCGCGGGCCGCCUUGGGGGUGACUCGCGGCCUGGACGCUAGGGAGCCUCUGCGCAAGCAGUUUUUGUCUGAGGAGAACAUGGCCACCCAUUUCUCUCAACUCAGCCUGCACAAUGAUCACCCCUACUGCAGCCCCCCAUGACCUUCCCCCCGGCCCUGACCCCACUCAGGAGCUCUUGCUCUGAGCUGCUUCUCUGGCGAUACCCUGGCAGCCUGAUCCCUGCAGCCCUCCGGCUGCUGAGGCUGGGGGACAUCCCCAGUCCCUCCUACCCCUCGACCCCAGCUGGGGACAUAAUGGAGCUCUGAGUGCUAGUGGACAGCGCCCCUCCCAGCUUCCUUCUUCCCCACAACAGAAGAGACCAGCGACUCCCGCAAAGGGACAAGGAGCCUCCCUCUCCUCCAGACCAGGCACCAAGACCUUCCCUCAACAGAGGGCUCUGAGCCCAAUGGAGCUCUGGGAUGAGAGGGUGGGAGCAUGGGCAGGGAGGCAUCCCACCCCCAAGAACCGAAUAAAGAUUGCUGAGCAAAAAAAAAAAAAAA